UCCCCGGUGGUGCAGUGGUUAAGAAUCCGCCUGCCAAUGCAGGGGACACGAGUUCGAGCCCCGGUCCGGGAAGAUCCCACGUGCCGCGGAGCAACUCAGCCCGUGCGCCACAACUACUGAGCCCGCGCUCUAGAGCCCGUGAGCCACAACAGCUGAGCCCGUGUGCCACAACUACUGAAGCCCGCGUGCCUAGAGCCCGUGCUCCGCAGCAAGAGAAGCCACCGCUAUGAGAAGCCCGCAAUGAAGAGGAGCCCCCGCUCGCCGCAACUAGAGAAAGGCCGCGCGCAGCAACGAAGACCCAGCGCAGCCAAAAAUAAGGGUUUAUUUCUGCCAGAGCGCACACUCUUAAGCAUCCCCAACUGUACCCUCCGUAAAGGCUGGGGAGAAGUGGGAAGAGCCGGUGACUUCAGUGUCCGUUCACAGCUGGUGGCACCAAGUCUGGUUACAGAGUAGGAGCCGGAAUCCUGUGAUGUCCAGAGAUGUCCAGCAUGUCAAAUUCUAGGCCAGAGACCGAGCCACAGGCACCAAGAGGCCAGAAAAUAUUGGAUGGGAGUUGGCUUA